rnacentral:sRNA from 1 species
AGGCUGAGGCAGGAGGAUCACCUGAGCCUGGGAGGUCAAGGCUACAGUGAGCUGUGGGCGACAGAGUGAGACCCUGUAUCAAAAAAAGGAGACCUGAGGAGGGCCUUGAGCAGAUACAUCUCCUCUCUCAUCCACUCAGGUGGCCACUAACACAGACACCAGCCGAAAUGCUGGAAAUGCGGUCCUGUUUGAGACAGUACUCACCAUCAUGGACAUCCGCUCUGCAGCUGGCCUACGGGUUCUAGCUGUCAACAUUCUUGGCCGCUUCCUACUCAACAGUGACAGGAACAUUAGGUAUGUAGCCCUGACAUCACUGCUUCGACUGGUGCAGUCUGAUCACAGUGCUGUGCAGCGGCAUCGGCCCACUGUGGUGGAAUGUCUACGGGAAACUGAUGCCUCCCUCAGCCGGAGAGCCCUGGAACUGAGCCUGGCUCUGGUAAAUAGCUCCAACGUGCGAGCCAUGAUGCAAGAGCUGCAGGCCUUUCUGGAGUCCUGCCCUCCUGACCUACGGGCUGACUGUGCCUCAGGCAUCCUGCUGGCUGCAGAGAGGUGAGGUGCCCAGGAGUCAAAGAGGGUAGAAUCUGGGGAGGGUCAGUACCAGGACUGAUGAGCCAUAUAUCCCCUAGGUUUGCUCCAACCAAACGCU